AGUUGCCAUCAGGUAAUGCUGGGGACUCUAAGGAUACUGCCCCGGUUAACGGGGAGGAAGGUGGGGAUGACGUCAAGUCAGUAUGUCCCUUACGUCCAGGGCUACACACGUGUUACAAUGGCCGGUACAAUGAGUUGCGACCCUGGCAAAGGUAAGCCAAUCUCAAAAAACCGGUCUCAGUUCGGAUUGCAGUCUGCAACUCGACUGCAUGAAGUCGGAAUCGCUAGUAAUCGUGAAUCAGAAUGUCACGGUGAAUACGUUCCCGGGCCUU
rnacentral:rRNA from 1 species